UGAUAUGUUUGAUAUUAGGUUG
rnacentral:ncRNA from 16 species